rnacentral:rRNA from 1 species
AGUGAACGCUGGCGGUAGGCCUAACACAUGCAAGUCGAACGGCAGCACAGUAAGAGCUUGCUCUUACGGGUGGCGAGUGGCGGACGGGUGAGGAAUACAUCGGAAUCUACUUUUUCGUGGGGGAUAACGUAGGGAAACUUACGCUAAUACCGCAUACGACCUACGGGUGAAAGCAGGGGAUCUUCGGACCUUGCGCGAUUGAAUGAGCCGAUGUCGGAUUAGCUAGUUGGCGGGGUAAAGGCCCACCAAGGCGACGAUCCGUAGCUGGUCUGAGAGGAUGAUCCGCCACACUGGAACCUGGAACAGGGCCCGAACUCUUAGGGAGGGAGCAGUGGGGAAUAUUGGAACAUUGGGGCAAGCCUGAACCCGGCCUAACGGGUGGGUGAAGGAGGGCUUUGGGUUGUUAAGGCCUUUUGUUGGGGAAGGAAAGCAGCAGGUUAAUACCCCGGUGUUCUGACGGUAACCAAAGAAUAAGCCACGGCUAACUUCGUGC